AUCCAGGGAUAGCUCAGGUAGGAGAGCAUGAGAUUCUUUAUCUCAUGGUUGUGGGUUCAAGCCCAACGUUGGGCA